rnacentral:lncRNA from 1 species
GGUUAAUUUAGGUAGGAUUAUCGUUUUUAUUAUAUUAGCUUGGCCUAUCCAUAAGUCAUUAAUGUUUUUCUAGUUAUUUGUGUCUGGAUUUAUGUGAAGGGUGUUUUGUAAAUAUAUUCAUAAUUUUUUUUUGGUAGGAGUACCCCAGAUAUUUUGUAUUGUCCAGAGUUAUUUGGAAUGGAAUUUCCCUUUCUAAAUCUUGCUUUUGGACUUUGUUGAUGGCAGAAGUCUGAGUAAGGAGGGCAAGCAGCUCUUUGUGUAGGGAGCUACAAAGUGUUUUGCCAUGAAGCUGUUUUUCCAGUCUACUCAUAAUCCUUGGAACAUCAGCUAUAAAACUGAGACAGAGGGGUGGAGUCAAGAUGGUGGCUUAGAAGCAGCAGAAGUUCAGACUUCUGAAAACCCUUCCUUACUGAUCACAAACUGAAUGCUCCUGGGAGACUGAAAAUCAAACCUAACAACAGGACAGAGCCAAGGAACCCUCCUGCUGGACUCAGUCCAAAAGGUAUGCCCCCCCCAAAAGGCAGAAUCCAAGAACACUUGGGUUUAAGAGGAAGGCAGAAGGAAGGUCCCAGUAACCCAGGCCCCCACCUAGAGCACUAAGCCUCCAGUGGCAGCAGGAACCCCUGGGCUGGCAAUGGCACUGGUCUGGAGGGUGUACCUUGUGGGCAGGGCUG